AAUGGAAUUGCUAGGUUAUAUGGUACUUCUAUGCACCAACUUUUUUAAAAAAAGAAAAAUUGUUUUCUAAAAAAUGAUUGCAUCAUUUUACAUUCCUAACAGCAAU
rnacentral:pre_miRNA from 1 species